GUUGCGGUUAAAAAGCUCGUAGUUGGAUGUCUUGUUCUUGUUUACAAGGUGAGGAGGGUGAAAGCUCUCUUUGCUGCGUCGGAACAAUCGUUGUGCCCCCUUCGUCAAAACGGGGGGCACCCUUGACUUUGAAGAAAUCAAAUUGCUCCAGAAAUAUCGUGCGAUAGGAAUAGUCCAGCAUAGCAUCAAAAGAUAGAUCUUUUGGGUUCCUCGCCGCAAGGUGGGGAACACGUGCCCAGCUUUGGACCCUGACAACACACCACAAAGAAAUGAUCGAUAAGAAGCGUUGGGGGCGUUUGUAUUUCUCAAAUAGAGGUGAAAUUCUUGGACUUGAGAAAGACAGACGGAUGCGAAAGCGCUCGCCAAGAAGCUCUCUUUUAAUCAAGAACGAAAGUUGGAGGAUCAAAGACGAUCAGAUACCGUCGUAGUUUCAACUAUAAACGAUGCCAAUUGAGGGAUUUGUUUUUGUCUGUUUUCAUAGGACGAAAGAAGAACCCACGGGAAACUUGAAAUCUUCGGGUUCCGGGGGGAGUAUGGUCGCAAGACUGAAACUUAAAGGAAUUGACGGAAAGGCACCUCCAGGAGUGGAGCCUGGCUUAAUUUGACCCAACACGGGAAAACUUACCAGGUCCAGACACGCCAAGGAUUGACAGCUUACAGAGCUUUCUUGAUUGUGUGGGUAGUAGUGCAUGGCCGUUUUUAGUUGGUGGCGUGAGUUGUCUGCUUAAUUGCGUUAACGAACGAGACUUGAGUGUUGUUAAUUGUUUCUUGCUGGCGCGUUCCAGCGUGUGAGAGACACUUAAACAGACUAUCGGUGUUGAGCCGGUGGAAGCUUCAAGCAAUAACAGGUCCGUGAUGCUCUUCGAUGUUCUGGGCCGCACGCGCGCGACAGUGAUUAUGACAGUGUGCUCUGGUCCACGAGUGUAAAAUGCUCGUGGCGUGUAGGUCAGACAUGACCGACCAAUCAUACAAUCAUAGAUCGUCGUGGGGAUUGAAGUUUGCAAUUAUUCUUCAUCAACUUGGAAUUCCUUGUAUACGCACGUCAUCAACGUGCAUAGAAUACGACCCUGCCUUUUGUACACACCGCCCGUCGCUGCUACCGAUGUGUUGGUUGGUGAGGUUGUUGGAUUUCGAAGCUCCGGGCAACUGGGGUGGAGGGAGAAAACAAACGAACCUGUCUGCAUAGAGGAAGCAAAAGUCGUAACA
rnacentral:rRNA from 1 species